rnacentral:lncRNA from 1 species
CAAGAGAGAAGGUCUGCAUAUUUGCCAGCCGGCCAGCAGUGUAGUAAACGUUAUGUGGAGUUAUUUUCCAUAUCGUUGUGUUUAUUUAUAUAAGCCCAAUUAGACCCUUUUAAAGGCUUAACUUAGUGUGGCUGCUGCAGACAGCUAGUUUACACCAAGUCCGUCUUGGCAAGACUUGAAAGCAAACAGUAAAUAGCGUAAACAAUUGUAUGUGAUUAUACACUCCUAAAUAAUGUGCAUCUGGGAUGACAAACCAAACUUAUUAAACAGACAACAAAUAGCUGAGGUAAAUAUCAAAUAUGUUAACUCUACCAAAUACAGAGCUGGAUCUCGUCAAAGCCUUAUUAACGCGGCACAGCUGGAUUAGAAUAAAAGAGCCAUUUAGACUUAAAAGCAGGGGAUCUCCAAGUUAGAAAGUCUGGAUUCUGUUCCCGUCUCCAUCACUAAUUCACUAAGUGACACUGAUUAUUACUUUGAUUUUUGCUUGUAUUUUCCCAUCAAUAGAAAGGGAAUUUCAGGACUGUUCCUGAGAGCUGGAGAGAAUGGUUGCCAGAUGCCUUCCCAGGAAGGGAACGAAAGAGAGCUGCUGUCUGGACGCCUCCUGCCUUGCUCUGCCAUCUCCCAGACCUGAUACCCCCUGGAAAAGAGAGUUGGCCUGGGCAAACAUGGGACCAAGGAUCCGAACUCCCUUUGCCCUCAGAACAGAAGGUUAGCCACCAACUCUACCUCCGCCCUAUGCCCUGGGGAGUGGAGCCUCCAUUGUCGGUGGAAUCUCCCCCAGAGCCUUCUGCUCUAGUUCUUAGGGCCACACAUAAUUCAUUCAUCCAUCAUCAGACAUGAGGAUACCGAAGUAGGGGAAAGAAGAAUUCCUUCUCUAGAAGAACUUACUGACAAGGAAAUUGAUGUGUUCCAUGCUGCAGAGGCAGGAGCAGGGUGGAGGUGCGUGACCUCACUGGAAUGAAGAAGGCGAAGCCCAGUCGAGGUCUCCAAGGAUGAGCCCAGCUGCAGGGGGCUGUCUUAUUCAUGACCCUCUGAAUCUGGGCUGGACUCAGUGACCUGCUCAGCCAACAGAAUUUGUAGAAGUAACAUUCUGGGACUUCUGAGACUAACUUACAAGAAACCUUGCUGCUUCUACCUGGGUCUCUUGGAACACCCUCACUCUGGUAGCUUUGAGCCACCAUGGAAGAACUCUGAUGACUCUAAAUUGGCCAAGUUAGAGAGAUUACAUGCAGGCUCUCUGGGACGUGGUCCCCGUCAGGUCCAGCCUUCUAGUUGUCUCUGCGACUCUGCCAAAGUGCCAGACAAUGAACGGAGCUGUUGUGGAUUCCCUCGACUUGCCCAGCUGUCAGUUGGACAUCUCAGUCAACACCACAUGGAACAGAAGAGUUGCGCAGCUGAGCCCUGUCCAAGUUUCUGACCCACAGAAUGUGAGAUAAAGAAAACGGUGGUGGCCAGGCGUGGUGGCUCAUGCCUGUAAUUCCAGCUCUCAGGGAGGCAGAGGCAGGAGGAUAGCUUGAGCCCAGGAGUUCGAGAUCUGCCUGGGCAAUAUAGCGAGACCUCGUUCUCCACAAAAAGGAAAAAAAAAAGACCAAAAAAAAAAAAAAAAAGAAAACGGUGGUUCUGGCACUAAUUUUUGAGAAUAUUGUUAUGCAUAGCAAUAGAUAACUGUUAGUUUUCUAGGACCCCUGUAACACAGUACCAUAAACUAGGAGGCUUAAAACAACAGAAAUGUAUUCCUUCCCAGUUCUGGAGGACAGAAGCCUGAAACAAAGGUGUUGGCAGGGCCACACCCCCUCUGAAGGCUCAGGGGGAACCUGUGCCAUGCCCUUCUCUUAGCUUCCCAUGUUACUGCGAAUCUUUGGCAUCCCUUGGUUGGAGACAUGGCACUCCAGUCUCUAUUCUUCUGCCACCUGACCUCCCCUCUCCCUGUUCACAUGGCGUUCUCUUCCUUAUGUGUGCUCGCUCUACUCUUAUAAGAAUACUAAUCAUAGUGGAUCAGGGCCCACCCCUCAUCUUAGUUAUAUCCAUGAAAUAUAUCUGAUUAGAUCCAUGAAAACCCUAUUUCCAAAUCAGGUCAUGUUUACAGGUACCAGGGGUUAGAACUUCAACUUUUUAGAGGACAUAAUUCAACCCACAACAAUAGUCAAAACACAAAGAUUUGAGUACAAGUUGUUUAUUUGAGGGAUGAUUCUAGGAAGCUCCAGUGGGGGCUGGUGGGAAGGCGGGAGGGGGAAGGUAAGAAGGUCAGAAUAAUGGGCAUCGUGGCCCUGUGGGCACUGGGAGUCAAUGCCACCAGGAAAAAUCUGGCAGACAGUGUAGAAAACACCUCAAAGUGAUUCUCUCUGCACUGCCCCCUCCCUCAGGGGUGGGCAAGGUGGACAAUUGGUCCUUCCAUUCCCAUCUCUCACUGGCUGAGGGCUGCUGCCUGGGAGCAUUAACUUCCUCGCACUUAAGGCUCACUGCCCAAAACCAAGAGCAAUCCCUCAAGUGAAGAGCAGCAGGUGCUUGCAGCAGGGCCCUGCGGGCAUCAUCUGGAACAGCAGGUGCUGAGGGGCAUGGGUGGGGGGCUGACAAUCUUUGCUAUUGCCAUGCUAGCGAGCUUGAAUUGUUUUCUGAAGGUUAUGGGGGCUGGAAGGAAUUGAAAUACUUAAUGCAGCAGAGUGGUGAGAUCAGGUUUGAAUUCUAAGUCACCCAGGUGGGAGUCGAAGUGGGGCAGACUCUCCAGUUAGGAAGCUACACCUGUAGACCAGGGGAGAAAUUGCAUGCACAACCCAGUGCCAUGGCCGGUCAAAUGGAGGGGAAGGGCUAGGCUCAAGGUACAUUUAGGAGGCAGAAUCAACAGGAAAUACACAAGGAAGGUGGGGACAAAGUUGAGGAAAUUCUGGGACCCUGAAGAAAUGCCUGACAUUGAGCUGAGCAAAAGGUGAAAUCUUAUCCUGUCCAUUACAGAAAGGAAAAGCUACUGAUGUGACAGCAACCUGCCUCAGGACCCUGGCACAGGCUGCUUCCUCAGCCUGUGACAUUUUCCAUCCUUGCCCCUCUUCCCCAGUCACAUGACUCACUCCCAGACACAUUGCAGGUCUUUGCUAAAAUGGCCCCUCCUCAAUGGGGUCUUCUUCCCUGACUACCUAAUUUAAAAUUGCAAGCCACCUGUCCCCCACCGUCUUGCCAUUUCUUUCUGUCACCCUAUCCUGCUUUAUCUUUCCCCACCUGUCACAGUCUGAUAUACAUUUACUUUAAUUAUAUAUUGGUUUAUUGUCUGUUGUGUUCCUUGUCACCAUCCAAAUAUGAGCUCCAUAGUGGCAGGGAUUUUUGGCUGUGGUCACAACCCAGCAUCUAGAAUAGGGCCUGGCACAUUGAAAGAAACACACACAUACUUGGUUUGUUCUUGUUUUUGGAGAUAGAUCUCAUUCUGUCACCUGGACUGGAGUGCAGUGGCACAACCACAGCUCACUGCAACUUCAAACUCCUGGGUUCAGGCAAUCUUCCUGCCUCGGCCUCCCGAGUAGCUAGAACAACAGGCACACGCUACCAUGCCUGGCUACUUUUUUUUUUAUUUUUGUAGAGAUGGGGUCUGGCUAUGUUGCCAGGCUGGUCUCAAACUCCUGGCCUCAAGCGAUCUCCCACUUUGGCCUCCCAAAGUACUGAGAUUACAGGAAUGAACAACUGUGACCGGCCAAUACCUCUUUGUUGAAUGAAUGAAUGAAUGAACAAUUCAAAAACCUAUUGUUAAAUACAAAUGGGCUGGGCGCAGUGGCUCAUGCCUGUAAUCCCAACACUUUGAGAGGCCAAGGCGGUGGAUUAUUUGAGCUCAGGAGUGCAAGACCAUCCUGGCCAACAUGGCGAGACACCAUUUCUACUAAACAUACAAAAAAUUAGUCGGGUGUAGUGGCGUGCACCUGUAGUCCCAGUUAUUUGGGAGGCUGAGGCAGGAGAAUUGCUUGAACCUUGGAGGCAAAGGUUGCAGUGGGCUGAGAUUGUGCCACUCCAUUCCAGCCUGGGCGACAGAGCGAGACUUCAUCUAAAAAAACAAAUAAACAAAACACACACACACAGAAAUGGACUAUAGCUGCUUCUGUCUUCUAAAGGGGAGAGGUAAUGGUGGCAUAAUUUAUAUUCUAGGAGAAAUAAAAUGCCUCUACCAUGCUCUUUCCUUCACAAACACUGGAGGAGAAAGAAGAAAAGGAGGUGUCUGGGCAGAUGCCAACUUGUGUGAGCAGAAUGCACGUGGCUCUUCUAAGCAAGCAAGGGAGAGGCUGGGUGUCAGGCAGGGAGUGCAGCAGGUGAAAAGGGAGAGUGUAAGCCUGUAUGUAUUUUGGGUUCUUGAGAAGAAAAGAAUUUAAAGAGUGCAGCAAGGGGCCCGGUGGUAGAAUGGCUAAAGAAUUUUUCAAAGCAGGUGAGUCCCAGACUCAGUUUUAAAUUAUUUUGGAGUUUCUGCCAUAUAAACCCACUGAGUAUCCUCAAAGACCUUAGUAAAGUCUGCUACAAGCAUAGGCCUCAUGUAACUUUUUUGGGAGGGAAGUUGAGGAUAGGGUGCAAAUCCCACAUCUGGUUUGACACAUGGAACGUGAACAGCAAGUAGAGAACCUGAGAUGAAACAGAAAUGGAAUUCAGUGGAAGCAGAAGGGACAACCCUGAUGAUACAAGGCUGUGGUAAUUAUAGAAAAUUGGGGAAAUACUUUUUUUUUUUUUUUUUUUGAGACGGAGUCUCGCUCUGUCGCCCAGAGACUGGAGUGCAGUGGCAGGAUCUCGGCUCACUGCAAGCUCCGCCUCCUGGGUUCAUGCCAUUCUCCUGCCUCAGCCUCCCGAGUAGCUGGGACUACAGGCACUCGCCACCAUGCCCGACUAUUUUUUUGUAUUUUUAGUAGAGACGGGGUUUCACCGUGUUAUCCAGGAUGGUCUCGAUCUCCUGACCUCGUGAUCCGCCCGCCUGCGCCUCCCAAAGUGCUGGGAUUACAGGCGUGAGCCACCGCGCCCGGCCAACAGUGUGUUGUUUUUAUCUUCACCCUGUACAACAGAGAGAUUAGGGAGUUCACCCAAGAUCAUGUAAAUGUCAGAGCCAGAGCUGAACUUUGGCUCUGUAGACUAGAAGUCAAAUACAUUACUACCUUGCUCCUAGCUUUUGCAGAUUCAAUAUUUGGGCUUUCAGCUAUUUGAGAAGUCCAAGCCACGCAGUGAUUUGAUACUUUCGCCUCUGCACAGAAGAGAAUCCCCUGUUCUGGAAGCCUGGUUUGCAGAAGGGAGUCCCUGGGCUAGUGAGUGGGCUGAGCCACUUGCUCAGCAGCCACAGUGCAACUCAGUUUUGUUGAUCUCUGCUGUGGUACAUGAUAAAAAAAAUUAUAGCCUGGGAAGGUCUUUGGACCUAUCUAUGCAAAGGGCAAAGGGCAAAAACUUUUCUAAUAUGUUUCCAGGAGCGGGAGCUUACUGGUGCUUUUAGAGAAUAAAAUUAUUCCAAUUUCUCAUGUCAUAUUUGGGUCCUCCAUGGUUAAAAGCAGAAUGGAUCAUAAGUCUGGGUUUUGAAAGUUUGAAAAGGUCUAUUUCCACUAUCUGUCUUCAGUUUAAGCCGUCGCCAUGACAUCUUACCCAAAGUGGCCUGACUCUUUUCCCAAGAGAUUGCUCUUCUGGGAAAAAAUGCAGUGAUACUCAAGUCAGAACUGGAACACGCCACAAAGGACUCGUAACUGCUUCUUUGGGUUGAAGAGGGGAGGUAUUUGUAGUUCUGGUUAUAAUUGGAGCAAAAAUAUUUUACAUGGACCCUAAUUAAAAUGAGGGGGAAAUGCACUUAAAGUUUUCUUUAACACGUGUGCUUAUGAAUCAAGUUUAUGGGAUGGGAAAUCUAUCCACUUGUUAAUCCAAAAGAUCAUCCACAAAUAGAACCCAGGGUGGCUGUUGUAUGAAAUUGAAUUACGUGCCCAGAUCUAUUACAACCACUUUCUCCUCCUUUCUGUGAGUGGCUUCAGUAUGCCCUGAAGUAUGCACCAAAGGUAAUUCUGUGGAAAAUUAGCAUCAAAUCUUCUAUUUCUGGUGAGACUAAGUGGGAUUUGGGGUGGUUUAUUUGCUAUUUUUUUUGUACUUUUAUUUAUUACCUGAUUUUUAAAAUUAUGACUGUGUAUUAAAUUCCAAAAACAAGUGUUUGCAUUUAGAAUUAAAUAACCCAUAACAAGGGAAAACUUGUCAAUAAUGAUACUAGAACACAAAAGAAGAGAAAAUGCCAAAGAUUCAACUUGGUUGUAUGUAAAAGCCUUUGCCAUCUCAGUCAACUGAGAAAUGACCAAACUUUAAGACUGUUCUUACCCUAGGAUAUCGUUAGGAGUGUCACGUAUACACAUCAGAUUCAUUUUGAGUCAUGUUUUAUUCAGUUCCUCACUUAUACUUACUUUGUGCUGUAUCUACUCUUGCCUGAAGAAGCAAUAUUGCAUGCUUAGGAUUUUUAAAAAAAAUUUUCAGGAGAUGCUGAGUGUUGCUACAAGGAGGAACUGCCUUUGGUUCUUCACUCUAUGAAGAGCUUUAUUAUUUUAUAAUUGCAUAAUGAGUUCUUGGAACAUUGUCUUUAAAAGGACAGAUGUUGUAUUGUAAUAAAAUAAUGUUAUUAAAAUUUGAUAACCUGGAAACAAU